rnacentral:rRNA from 1 species
AGAGUUUGAUCCUGGCUCAGGACGAACGCUGGCGGCGUGCUUAACACAUGCAAGUCGAACGCGAAAGCCCUUCGGGGUGAGUAGAGUGGCGAACGGGUGAGUAACACGUGGGCAACCUGCCCCAAGGAGCGGGACAACCCGGGGAAACUCGGGCUAAUACCGCAUGAUUCGCCGGCACAUAAGUGCCGGCGGCAAAUGGUAGCUUCGGCCUCCGCCUUGGGAUGGGCCCGCGGCGCAUUAGCUUGUUGGUGGGGUAACGGCUCACCAAGGCGACGAUGCGUAGCUGGUCUGAGAGGACGAUCAGCCACACUGGGACUGAGACACGGCCCAGACUCCUACGGGAGGCAGCAGUGGGGAAUCUUGCGCAAUGGGCGAAAGCCUGACGCAGCAACGCCGCGUGUGGGAAGACGGCCUUCGGGUUGUAAACCACUUUCAGGGGGGACGAAGCUUCCAGGGUUAAUAGCCCAUGGGGUGACGGUACCCCCAGAAGAAGCCCCGGCUAACUACGUGCCAGCAGCCGCGGUAAUACGUAGGGGGCGAGCGUUGUCCGGAAUCAUUGGGCGUAAAGCGCGUGUAGGCGGCUCGGUAAGUCCGGUGUGAAACCUUGGGGCUCAACCCCAAGCCUGCACUGGAUACUGUCGAGCUUGAGUCCGGGAGGGGAGAGCGGAAUUCCUAGUGUAGCGGUGAAAUGCGCAGAUAUUAGGAAGAACACCGGUGGCGAAGGCGGCUCUCUGGAACGGUACUGACGCUGAGACGCGAAAGCGUGGGGAGCGAACAGGAUUAGAUACCCUGGUAGUCCACGCCGUAAACGAUGGGCACUAGAUGUGGGCGGUGUCGACUCCGUCCGUGUCGAAGCUAACGCAUUAAGUGCCCCGCCU